rnacentral:rRNA from 1 species
AGUGAACGCUGGCGGUAGGCCUAACACAUGCAAGUCGAACGGCAGCACAGUAAGAGCUUGCUCUUACGGGUGGCGAGUGACGGACGGGUGAGGAAUACAUCGGAAUCUACUUUUUCGUGGGGGAUAACGUAGGGAAACUUACGCUAAUACCGCAUACGACCUACGGGUGAAAGCAGGGGAUCUUCGGACCUUGCGCGAUUGAAUGAGCCGAUGUCGGAUUAGCUAGUUGGCGGGGUAAAGGCCCACCAAGGCGACGAUCCGUAGCUGGUCUGAGAGGAUGAUCAGCCACACUGGAACUGAGGCACGGACCAGACUCCUACGGGAGGCAGCAGUGGGGAAUAUUGGACAAUGGGCGCAAGCCUGAUCCAGCCAUACCGCGUGGGUGAAGAAGGCCUUCGGGUUGUAAAGCCCUUUUGUUGGGAAAGAAAAGCAGCAGGUUAAUACCCCGCUGUUCUGACGGUACCCAAAGAAUAAGCACCGGCUAACUUCGUG